AUAUAUGGAAAUAUUUCGAAAUUAAGGUAGUUAAAAUGUAUCACCCUUUUUAUAAAAUCAAUAUAAUUCUAAAAUUAUACUGAUUUCAAGUAAUUUUGUACUAACAAAUUAUAUAUUAUAAUUUAUCAAACAAAUUAUUCCACAUACAUAAUAUAGUAUACUGUUAUCAUAGUAACGACAAUAUACAAUAACUAAAAUAUUUUUUAUGAUUAUUUGCUAAAAAAUUAACAAAUAA
rnacentral:sRNA from 2 species